rnacentral:rRNA from 1 species
AUUGAACGCUGGCGGCAUGCUUUACACAUGCAAGUCGAACGGUAACAGGGUGCUUGCGCCGCUGACGAGUGGCGAACGGGUGAGUAAUGCGUCGGAACGUGCCGAGUAGUGGGGGAUAACGCAGCGAAAGUUGUGCUAAUACCGCAUACGUACUGAGGUAGAAAGUGGGGGACCUUCGGGCCUCACGCUAUUCGAGCGGCCGACGUCGGAUUAGCUGGUUGGUGAGGUAAAGGUUCACCAAGGCGACGAUCAGUAGCGGGUCUGAGAGGAUGAUCCGCAACACUGGGACUGAGAACCGGCCCAGACUCCUACGGUAGGCAGCAGUGGGGAAUUUUGGACAAUGGGCGCAAGCCUGAUCCAGCCAUGCCGCGUGUCUGAAGAAGGCCUUCGGGUUGUAAAGGACUUUUGUCCGGGAGCAAAUACCCAGUGCUAAUAACGCUGGGGGCUGAGAGUACCGGAAGAAUAAGCACCGGCUAACUACGUGCCAGCAGCCGCCGUAAAAC